rnacentral:rRNA from 1 species
UACAGGGGGAGCGAACGUUACUCGGAAUCACUGGGCAUAAAGGGCGCGUAGGCGGUCCUGUAAGUCGGAUGUGAAAGACCUUGGCUCAACCAAGGAAUGGCAUCCGAUACUGCGGGGCUUGAGGCCAAGAGGGGCAAGCGGAACUCCUGGUGGAGCGGUGAAAUGCGUAGAUAUCAGGAGGAACACCGGUGGCGAAGGCGGCUUGCUGGAUUGGUUCUGACGCUGAGGCGCGAAAGCCAGGGGAGCAAACGGG